rnacentral:rRNA from 1 species
AAGGGCACCACAAGAACGCGUGGAGCAUGUGGCUUAAUUUGACUCAACGCGGGAAAUCUUACCGGGUCCGGACACACUGAGGAUUGACAGGCGUUAAAGCAGUAUUUUCGAAUACUGCCCCAAACAUGAAAGUCCUUUCAUGAUUGUGUGAUAGGUGGUGCAUGGCCGUUCUUAGUUCGUGAAGUGAUUUGUCUGCUUAAUUGCGUUUCAAAAAGGACAUUUGGCAACAGUUGUGAUUCAAGCUUACGAUGCUUUACUUUUGCUGUUUGGGUCUACGGACUCUUCGUGUGAGAGUAUUGCAUCUGCUUGUCUUGCACGCCUACAAUCGUCCUGAAGACAACGAACGUGACCGCAGCCUCUAGUUGCCUCUCUGUCAAAGAGUAUGGUAUUGCAGUACUGCACUUGUGUAGUAUUAAUGUACUGUACUUUUAGUAGAGGGUUAAACUAGGGGGACCGCUGGCAAAAAUUUUUAAACAGAGGAAGGAUGCGGCAAUAACAGGUCUGUGAUGCCCUUAGAUGUUCCGGGCUGCACACGUGCUACAAUGAUCGUUGCAGUAAGCUUCUUACUGACAAGCUGUGGGAUUUCAAUUUCGUCUACUCGUUAUUGGCAGGAGUUGCAGUGGUUUUUACUUGACUAGGUUUUUUCUAAGGAUGCUUUGGCUUCGGCUGGAGUUGAAUUAGGGAUUGCUUUGAGAGUAGAAGCUGUUGUAAUGAAUGCUGAGAGGGGUUCUCGAAAGAAGGAUCCAUCAACACAGCAGGCCCACUUCGAAAGCAAGUGGGGAAACAAUUCGAAGUAACGAUUUCCAAUCGCUAAACUACAAGGUACGCUAAUUUCUUCUACGGAGUUAGUUGUACCAAGCCCCAUAACUUCAAAGUGGGGACAGACCCUUGUUAAUUGUUGGUCUCGGUCUCAACUAGGAAUGCCUUGUACGGGUGGUUCACCAAACCACCCGGAAUAUGUCCCUGCCCUUUGUACACACCGCCCGUCGCUCUUACCGAUGGACUUCUCUGCGAGACUGGAGGACUUGUCAUGGUGAUACGCUUAGCACUUGUGUUAAGUUAUGUUACCUAAGGAAAUCUAGUCGAACAGUGUGGUCUAAAGGAAAGAGAAGUCGAACAAGGCA